GUGCCAGCCGCCGCGGUAAUACCGGCAGCUCAAGUGAUGUCCCAUAUUAUUGGGCCUAAAGCGUCCGUAGCUGGCCGACCAAGUCUCCCGGGAAAUCCACCCGCCCAACGGGUGGGCGUCCGGUAGAAACUGGCCGGCUUGGAACCGGAAGGCUCGAAGGGUACGGCCGGGGUAGGAGUGAAAUCCUGUAAUCCCGUCCGGACCACCGAUGGCGAAAGCACUUCGAGAAAACGGAUCCGACAGUGAGGGACGAAAGCUAAGAUCGCGAACCGGAUUAGAUACCCUAGUAGUCC
rnacentral:rRNA from 1 species